rnacentral:rRNA from 1 species
CGAAAGGGUCGCGAACCCGCGAGGGGGAGCCAAUCCCAAAAAGCCGCUCUCAGUUCGGAUUGCAGGCUGCAACUCGCCUGCAUGAAGCCGGAAUCGCUAGUAAUCGUAGAUCAGAACGCUACGGUGAAUACGUUCUCGGGGUUU